UACGUAGGCAGCGAGCGUUGUUCGGAGUUACUGGGCGUAAAGAGUGCGUAGGCGGUUUUCUAAGUUUGGUGUGAAAUCUCCCGGCUUAACUGGGAGGGUGCGCCGAAAACUGGAAGGCUUGAGUAUGGGAGAGGUAAGCGGAAUUCCUGGUGUAGCGGUGAAAUGCGUAGAUAUCGGGAGGAAUACCGAUGGCGAAGGCAACUGCCUGGGCCUGAACUGACACUGUGACACGAAAGCGUGGGUAGCAAACAGG
rnacentral:rRNA from 1 species